ensembl:lncRNA
CUGCGAUGGAGGACCAGCAUCCACAGCAGCUUCACGGUUUCGUCCACAAACAGAUGCAAUUCGGAUCCCCAGCCACUGCAGGCCCCUGGACCAGCGCGGCCAGAGCUGUGUUUCAGGAAACCCUGCAGGUUCCACAGUUGAACGAGGCUGUAAUCUCGACGCGGAUGUCAAUUCAACAAAUCACGUGCACCCUGGGUCCUCUCAUCCUCGUCAGGUGGCCUCAGGUGUCCCGCCAACACCUCAGCCUCCUUCCUGCCUGCAGGCCCUUCCUGGUCUGUGUCUCUCCACCGGGCCGGCGGCUCUGAUCUGUCUAUCUACACCCUUAAGGCCUCCCUCAGACCAGCCCCUGGUCCAGGCAGGGCUGGAGCCUCCUUCCUGGGGCUCUUGCUGGGGGUGGUCCAGCCAGCACCACUGAAGUCGGGGUCUGGACACUGGCCUCUGGCCGUGAGCCGGGCCGGGGCUCAGGGGGUCCCGGGAGGACCCAGUGCUUGGAUGCAGUUUUCAGGCAGAAGCCUCACGACCGAGGACCGGACGCUCCUGAUCACCUGCCAGGGUAGACACCACCCCUUCACUUUCAUGGUGACAGACACUCACUGAAUUCUCUCAGUACCCGCCUCCCCCCACACCCCGCCCCGACUCCCAACUCCCCGUAGAGGGGAGCUGCAUUUGGGAUUAAGUCACUAUUCAGUAUUAAUCGGUUCGUCAACAUGUGGAUUAGAUCUUUUAAAUGAGACUCAUCAAUCCAUCUCCAAUACUUUGGCCACCUGAUGCGAAGAGCUGACUCAUUGGAAAAGACUCUGAUGCUGGGAAAGACUGAAGGCGGGAGGAGAAGGGGACGACAGAGGAUGAGAUGGGUGGCUGACAUCACCAACUCGAUGGACAUGAGUUUGAGCAGGCUCCGGGAGUUAGGGAUGGACAGGGAGGGCUGGCGUGCUGCAGUCCAGGGGGUUGCAAAGUGUCGGACACGACUGAGCGGCUGAGCAACAGCAACAUCAGUCCAUCAAUCCUCUAGUCAAAUGCUGUGUCUCAUCGGUAUUUUUCCCGGCCUCCCUGAGCAGGCGGCUGGUCCAGCCCAGUCUCCUCCCUGGAGACGCCAGCCCGAAGCCGUCUUCGCUCUCUGCCCUCAGCUGCUCAGUCUGUCUCCUGGAUGCAUGCGUGGGGAUCUUCGAAUUCAGGGAUCGAACCCGUGUCUCCUGCAUCUCCUGCGUCUCCUGCGCGGCAGGCGGGUUCUUCACCACUAGCUCCGCCAUGCAUUCCUGCCUCUCGUUUCACUCUCUCCUUCUGUGCAAGAGGUUCUCCAGGAGGUCCUGGCUGGGGACUUGGGGGCUGUGCGCUUCCUGAGUGAUGGAGGGCCCCGUCUGUCCCCGUCUCUGGGUGGCGGCCGGGCAGGCUGUGGAAUCUGGGUCCAAGUGAACUUUCUCGGCCAUGGAUGCUCCACCGUCUCCCAGCCUCCAGGACACAGCAGAGAAGGUCGAAUCCGUGCUGCGUCCUGACCUUUUGUGGCCUAUUUCUG